rnacentral:ncRNA from 1 species
ACAAAAAAAAAAAAAAGGGAGGGCUAGUUUUCCUUGACAAGGAUGGAAGAGGCCCCAGGCCUGACAGCUCUUAAACGGUUAAUGUGUUGCUCUCUACUUUGAGGCAUCCAACCAUGGCUUUUA